rnacentral:rRNA from 1 species
UACGUAGGGGGCAAGCGUUGUCCGGAAUCAUUGGGCGUAAAGAGCGCGUAGGCGGCCCUGUAAGUCCGCUGUGAAAGUCAAGGGCUCAACCCUUGGAUGCCGGUGGAUACUGCAGGGCUAGAGUCCGGAAGAGGCGAGUGGAAUUCCUGGUGUAGCGGUGAAAUGCGCAGAUAUCAGGAGGAACACCGAUGGCGAAGGCAGCUCGGCUGGGACGGUACUGACGCUGAGGCGCGAAAGCGUGGGGAGCAAACGGG